rnacentral:rRNA from 1 species
UACGGGGGGGCAAGCGUUGUUCGGAAUUACUGGGCGUAAAGGGCUCGUAGGUGGCCAACUAAGUCAGACGUGAAAUCCCUCGGCUCAACUGAGGGACUGCCUUUGAAACUGUUCGGCUUGAGGCCGGGAGGGGUAGCGGAAUUCCCAGUGUAGCGGUGAAAUGCGUAGAUAUUGGGAGAACACCAGUGGCGAAGGCGGAGCUACCUGGACCGGUUGUAGACGCUGAGGCGCGAAAGCGUGGGUAGCAAACAGGG